rnacentral:lncRNA from 1 species
GCUCCAUCUCUCCAUCUCUCCGCCUCUCCUCUUGGCGAUUCUCUCAGAUCAUUGGAUUCUUCGCCGCUCGAGUGCAAGUUCCUGUUCUUCAUUCUCAUGUUCAUCAAUCAAUAACAUAGGGUUUAUUGGUCUCAUCACAAACUCAAAAUUCUUUUCGAUCCCAUCUGCUUUCUCUCUCUCUCUUUCUCCCUGGCGAUUCAAAAAGACGAUGGCGAUUCAAGUUGAUUGGUAUACAAGUUUUUAG